rnacentral:lncRNA from 1 species
AUGCUCACAGGCGAUAAGCGAAUGUGUCACCCUCCGUGGAGGCUGCUGGAGUCGCACAGUGAGCGGCAGACACUGUCACCUGGCGUGAUAAUGGUGAAGCAAAUGUGGCCGGAGAGGGGCCUAGGACCCCGAGGGGGCGGCGCGGUCUUUGUCAAGGGACCACGCUCACUCUGGGCUCUCUGCGUGGCCCCGGGUCUCCCGGAAUUGGGGCUGCAGGGCACUGGCUUCAUUACACACCCUCUAAGCCCUAAUUCCUUCGGUCUUGCCGGCGGCGACCACCCCAGGCCCGGGCGUCCGCGUAGCGGGACGUGGGGAGGCGGCAGCGGCGGCGGGGAAACGGGCUGCCGGCAGAGGGAUGGGGGGUGCGCGGCUUCGUCGCGUGAAGCGCUGCCGCCCAGACAGGCCUCAGCGCCUCAUCCGGGGCCCACGCACCAACCACCUGUCCCUUGCGGCGCGGUCGCCCCCGCUCGCGCCCCUCGCGCCCCCGGACCCACGCCCCCGACGCAGCCCCCGGGGGCCUCAGCGCGCAGCACCGACCGCCUGGCAGCCCAGGGCCUGGGAUGGGGGCGCAGGGACGCAGGGGGCCGCAGCCAGGAGGGGGCGUGGCGGGCCCGGGCGGAGUGGGUGGUCCUGCGUCCAGCGCCCCGGACCGAGCUCUGCGGACGCUUACCUCGGAGAUGCGGCCACUGCAGCGAGCGCCUCCGCGACUCGGCCGCGGGCGACCGGGUGUCCGGCGAGCUCCCGCACCCCCGCCGCCCCGGGCUCGCCAGCUCCGCACCGCGCGCCCCGAUGACCCGCCACGCACCGCGCGCUCAUUGGCCCGCCCCCGGCCCGGCCCGCCCCGCACGCUCAUUGGCCCGCCCGCGGCCCUGCCACACUCCCGGCCCCUCCUGGCCCGGGGAACGCGCGGGGUGCACGGAGGCAGGUGGCCGCGCGGCUCUGCCUUACAAGGCCGGCGCGGCGCAGGGGCGUGGGAACCCCGCAAAGGAGGCGAGCCCGGGGCGGUGGGCUAGGGGCGGCCGCACCUGGCCCUCCGGGACCUCGGGAGGCUCGCCCGCAUCCCCACGGCAGACAGCACGCGAGCGGACGGGCCUCCGGGAGGGGCGGGGGGACGGCGGGGCGCUGGCCUCUCCGCGGAGACUCGGGCCAACGAGGAGGCCCAAUGUGUAG